GCCUCAAAAACGCGGCUGACAUAGUGAAAUUUCACCCUUAAUGAGGGACUUCAGUUCUUCGGAGUUACUAUAAUUCACUUAAUAAUGAAGUUCCAGAUAUAUUCAAACCCAUCAAGAAAGCAUUGCCUGAUUGGAUUUCAGAAAGGAUUCUACACCUCAGAUGGUAGAAGCAGUAAUAGCCUUGGCUGCCCUGGGCCUCUGUGCAGGAUGAAGGCAACUGCCAUCCCAAGGAAGCUUUAAGUUCUGAAAUAA
rnacentral:lncRNA from 1 species